rnacentral:rRNA from 1 species
ACGAACGCUGGCGGCGUGCUUAACACAUGCAAGUCGAACGGAAAGGCCCUGCUUUUGUGGGGUGCUCGAGUGGCGAACGGGUGAGUAACACGUGAGUAACCUGCCCUUGACUUUGGGAUAACUUCAGGAAACUGGGGCUAAUACCGGAUAGGAGCUCCUGCUGCAUGGUGGGGGUUGGAAAGUUUCGGCGGUUGGGGAUGGACUCGCGGCUUAUCAGCUUGUUGGUGGGGUAGUGGCUUACCAAGGCUUUGACGGGUAGCCGGCCUGAGAGGGUGACCGGCCACAUUGGGACUGAGGUACGGCCCAGACUCCAACGGGAGGCAGCAGUGGGAAAUAUUGCACAAUGGGCGGAAGCAUGAUGCAGCAACGCCGCGUGGGGGAUGACGGCCUUCGGGUUGUAAACCGCUUUCGCGUGUGACGAAGCGUGAGGGACGGUAAUGGGUAAAGAGGCACCGGCUAACUACGU